GGUCUCAAACGAUCUUCAUGUCUUGGCCUCCCAAAGUGCUGAGAUUACAGGCAUGAGCCACCAUGCCUGGCCCAGGUUAUUCUUAAUCUCACCUUUUAGAGGUAGAAAGUGGAGAGCCCCGCCCUGUGGGCUUUAAAUCUUGUUCCACUUCAGACACUUUCACAGCUCUGACAUCAUGAAUACUGUAAUCACCCAGCACAGGAGGGACUGCGAUUCCCAGAACUCUGACAUCAACAGCCUGUGAGGACAGCAAGCUGGAUGUGGCUCGCUCUGAACAUCUGCCUCUCCACUCAGGAGACCUAGCUCCUUGCAGAGCCUCAUUCUUCCACGUGUUUCAGGGCGACCCCAGCGGGUAGAUAACAUGCACCCAUAGAUGAGUCCUGGUUGCCACUUGAUUUUGAAAGGAAAAAUAAAAUUGCAUUUAUUUCCAAAUGA